UUAUAUCCACAUCGUUCCACUUCUGGGAUUGCUCGGAGGCCGACGUACAUUCUGCCGGAUUUCACUCAUUUAAGCCGGAUAUCUGUUGCCUUUGGCUUCCUUUUGUUUUUGCAUUUUAAA